rnacentral:rRNA from 1 species
UUCGAGUGGCGGACGGGUGAGUAACGCGUGGGUAACCUGCCUUACACAGGGGGAUAACACCUGGAAACAGGUGCUAAUACCGCAUAAGCGCACAGGGCCGCAUGGCCCGGUGUGAAAAACUCCGGUGGUGUAAGAUGGACCCGCGUCUGAUUAGCUUGUUGGCGGGGUAGGGGCCCACCAAGGCGAUGAUCAGUAGCCGGCCUGAGAGGGUGGACGGCCACAUUGGGACUGAGACACGGCCCAAACUCCUACGGGAGGCAGCAG